rnacentral:rRNA from 1 species
ACCCCCAAGGGCGCCCCAGCAGUGAUAAAAAUUAAGCAAAUAAGCGCAAGCUUGACUUAGCUAUAGCAAAGAGGGUUGGUCAAUCUUGUGCCAGCCACCGCGGUUAUACAAGAAACCCAAAUAAACAGAAAACCGGCGUAAAAUGUGACUAAACAAUUAUCCAAAAAUUAAGGAGAACUCUGUACUCAACUGUUAUACGUAAAAGUACACAAUUACCACAACAUGAAAAUAACCCUAAUGUAAUAGAACUAUUCGAACUCACGACAGCUAAGACACAAACUGGGAUUAGAUACCCCACUAUGCUCAGCCAUAAACAGAUAUUUCACACACAAAAAUAUCCGCCAGAGAACUACGAGCAAAACGCUUAAAACUCUAAAGACUUGGCGGUGCCCCAAACCCACCUAGAGGAGCCUGUUCUAUAAUCGACAAUCCACGAUUUACCUCACCAUCUAUCGCCAAUACCGCCUAUAUACCACCGUCACCAGCCUACCCUAUGAAGGAUGCAGAAGUGAGCAAAAUAGCUAACAAUAGCUAACAAGUCAGGUCAAGGUGUAGCUAACUGAGAUGGAAGAAAUGGGCUACAUUUUCUAAAUUAGAAAUUACUUCACGGAAAGAACUAUGAAACAAGUCCUAUAAGUAGGAUUUAGCAGUAAACAGGGAUUAGAAUGCCCAAUUUAAGCCGGCCCUAAGGCACGCACACA